CAGAAGGUACACUGGCCCUGGAGUAGGGAAGUUUCCCUAAUCCAUCUCUUUGACCAUGACCUUCACAAAAGUGACUAUAGAGGAGUCAUUUUAAAAUGGAGUCAGAGCUGCCUGUCCAGAGAAAUUGCUUGGCUGUCUUAAACCUCGGACUGGGCCAAACCUGUGGAGAGGACCAGAAUGGCAAUUGUUUUACAAGCAAUUGUUUGAGAAGUCAGCAGGAGAACAGACACUCUGAUCACAAAGACCGAGGGUUGUGGACUUUCUGAAGAUGGAAUCAAUAGCCAAUCAAUGUUUAACCAAGACUAGCUGUCUGCCUCCAACUCCAAUUAAAAUUCUUUGUAAUACAACCUCCCUUCUUUGCCUUUAAAAGCUCCUGAUUUUUAGUGCCUAGUGGAACACUUUUUGAGUUUCUACCUAAAUAUGUUUCUCCCAAAUUGCAGUUCUAAUUGCCCAAAUAAAUAUCUGCUGUUUAAAUUGCAGUGAUUUUUCCUCUGUCAACAACCUACGAGGUGGUAAGCAACUAUAAGACGUGAGGCCAGAGAAAUGUGCUUGUCAUUUGUGUGUCCUCAGUCUCUGGUACUAGUCACAGAGUCAGUGCCCUGAAUGCUUUCGAGUAAAUUAAUUAAUCAGUGUUGGAAAAUACUCAAGGUACGACUUCAAGAACUUGAAUUCCCAGGCAAGACUGGGAUCUCAGGAGCCAAAGCUGAGCACAGGAGAAGAUUCUAACCCAGGCCUCCUAUACCCUCUAAAUUCACAUUUCCUGCUGCUCCCUACUGAAUACCUGCUGCUAGCUGCCUCCUUCUCCACUCCCUGAGUUAUUUCCUUAGUGGAAUGAUGAAGCCAGAGGAGAGCUGUGGGCACGUCACCCUCGCUGUCUCUGCUCUGGCUGCAGGGAGGAAUUCCCAGGCUCCCGCCCUCACCGGCUGAGAGCAGAAAACAGUGAUCACACAAAAGAUUCCUGUGGAGAGGAACCAGGAAAACUGCUAUCUUCUAUAUUAACCUCCAUAUGAUAAACCUUAUGCUGGUGAACCUGGCCAAGAAAAGGCCAGAGAUCUUGAAGGAACCCUGGGUGCCACUUCAGUGAAUGCUAUGCAGUGGUAGGGAGCACGCUUAGUGCUCUCAGGGGGACACCCCCUACUUGAAUCGAUGGCGGUCAAGCUCUGUGUCAUCCAUCCUUUAAGUCAAGCCAAGGCCUUCUGUCCACUUGAGGCUCUAAACACAAGCAAGAUGAUGGAGCGGGGUGAGGCAAGAAGAAGUGGGCUGAGUCGUUUUCAAAUGAGAUCGACUUUACUAAAUGAUUCAGGAUAAAGUAGCAGGUGCUAAAGGAAAAGCAACUGAGAUCACGCGAGGGGAAUAUAAUGCCAAGCAUUUUUUCCCUUCUUUAAAAAUUUUUCUCAACUUGAUUCUGUGUAAAAAUGGUACAACUACAGUCAAGGAUAGCUUCCUGAUGUUGAUGAGUGGGGCUUUUUGGAGGGGUGAGAAUUUUCUCAUCAGAGGCGAGGAGAAGGCAAAGCCACAGCAGAGCCAGCCGCAGGCCCCGGCUGCCAGCAACGUCAGGCUGUGCAGGCCGGCCUCUGCUCCAAAUACACCUGACACUCAGGGUCAAAUGCCGACCUCUUCAGAGCUCCAGGGCCAAAGCCUGGAUUGAUGGGUCCCUUUAUUUUGGUGAAGAGACCAAGGGUUCCAGCUUUUUCCUUUUAAAUUUUUCUUAUCAAUUUUUUAAUCAGUAAAGUAAUUCACGCUCGUUGUAACAACUGAAGCCAAUGUUGAUAUAUAUCCUUCCUUAAACAUAUAUGGGAGGUAGCUUUGUUUGUUUCCUUAAAAAUAGGAUUAUCUACACAUAUUACUUUGCACCUUACAUUUUGCAUUGAACAAUAUAUCACGAACACUCCUGCAGGUCAACGCAUACAGACAUAAUUCUUUUAAACAGCUGCAUCUGAGUCCAUAGUGUGAACGGAGACAGUUUAUUCUAUUGUUUCCAAUUUAAUGAAUAUUCAAACUAUUUUCUGGUGUUUUUGGUUUAUUUGUUUGAUUUUUCUUUGGGCCACUACACCCAUUACUACUGCAUUAAACAUCUUCUUAGAUAUAUCCUUACAAAUGGAUCUUUUAUUUCUGAAGAAAACAUCAACAAAAGGAAUUGCUUGGACAUGUGGAUGUGUUCUUUUUAAAACAGAUAUUACUUCCCAAAAUUAGAAAUCCACCUGCCCAAAUGCAAAAUAUGAAAAUGUCCAUCUUCCCACCGCUUCACCAGGAAUCUCUUUUUAUUGUGACUUUUGCUGUUUUCUAAAGAACAUGCAGUCAGGGAAAAAUAAGAGAGCAGAUCACCUCUUCACCUCAGCCCUCAGCACAUCAGAUUCCCCCAUCAUUAAACAUUUGUCCAAUAUAGAAGGUACGGCACCAAGAGUGAACCGUAGUAUGACUAUGGCCUUUGGGCGAUAAGGCAGCAUCACUGCAGACGUGUCACCUGUAACGAAGGCACCACUCUGGUGGGAGACGUUGACAAGGAGGGAGACUACGCAUGUCCUGGGGGCAGGGGCUAUAUGGGAAAUCUCUGUUCCUUCCUCUCAAUUUUGCUGUGAACCCCAAACUGCUCUAAAAAAAUUAUCUUUUUUAAAAAAGUGAUUUAAGUGCACAUUUUGUGGUGGACAUUCUGAUGUACACGCCAGUCCCUUCUUCAGGAACGGAGGCUCUCUUCUCUCAGCUGCUGGGAAUGGCACAGAGGACAGCCCUCAGCAGUCGGCUGCUUGGGAACUGCCCCAGCUGAAUGACAGUCCCUUCCCUGAGGUCACGUCACAUUCCUGAUUGAUACAGGGAUGUAAAUACCCAGCUCUCUUGUCUCAGCUGGGGACGGUUCCAAAGGGUCGUCUGUUUUUGAACUGCCCGAAGGUCACGGCUGCAGCCUGCCUUGACUCCACCCCACUGGACUUCUCCCUCUGCGGUCUCCUCCUCCCUUCCCAAGGAUGUCCCUAGUCAACUUCCUGAGUUCUGAUCUCUGUCUCAGGGUCUGCUUCCCAGAGAACCCAGAAGCGAGCUAUACAUUUUAAAAGAAACUCACACAGAGUAUUCACUCAGAGUUUCUAACUUAGGGAAUUCAUGACAUAAAGUUCUUUUGAUUUUGGCAGGCUGAUUUCACUUUUGAACACCUCCCACAGAUGAAGAACCAACACAUUUAUACCUGUAUCUUUAUAGAGAGGCAUCCAUAUUUAUGAGACGAUAAUUAUUCGUUCCCAAGGAUUUUGUCGCUCAUCAUUACUCUAAAAGAAACUCGGGAGAGGUAAACAAUUCACCAGAACUCCUUUGGUUUUGCCAAUCUUCAGGUGAAAAUUGGUUAUUGCUUUGUUCUUUUGAUUGGCAUCCCCAGCUAGUGAGGUGGGGAAUGUCCACAGGUGUUUAUUAGCCAGGUAGUUUCCUCUUCUGUGAAUUAUCUAUUUACAUACUUUUGCCCAUUUUUCUUUUUGUUUCACUUGUCUUUUUCAUAAUAAUUGGUAAUACAUUUUGGAUAUAUGUUGCUUUUUUGGCUUUUUUUGAUGGUGACUUUCAUCACUUUCAAAGAUAACACUUUAUGUGUUGGUUUUGGAGGGUUAUUUGAGUUUGGGUUUUAAAAAUAUAUGUAUACAGAAGCAUAUAAGGAAGAAAGUAACUGUCUUAGUCCAUUUGGGCAGCUCUAACUGAAUACCAUUGACUGGGUGGCUGAUAAACAACAGGAAUUUAUUUCUCACAGUCCUGGCAGCUGGGAGGUCCUAGAUCAGGGCCUGCUUCGAGGCUCCUAGACAGUCAUCUUUUUGCUGUGUUCUCACAGGGCCAAAGGGCAAGGGAUCUCGCCAGGAUCCUUUUUAUAAGGGCACUAAUCUCAUUCAUUAGGGCUUCACCCUCAUGACCUAAUUACCUCCCAAAGGCUCCAACUCCUAAUACCAUAACAUUGAGGAUUAGGUUCCAACAUGUGAAUUUGGUGGGUGGAGCAGAAACACAAACAUUCACUCAAUAGCAGUAAUAAUCACUUAAAAUUUCUCCACUUAGAGAAUUAUUUUGAAAUUUUUCACUUUUCCUUGCAAUUUUUCCAUGCCCAGUUUUCAUAAUUGAGAUAAUCUUAUAUCAGACUUUAUACAUAAUUUGAAUUCUUGUUUUCUCAUAUACAGUCAUGCGCCACAGAAUGACACUGUGGUCAGCAAUGGACCACAUAUACAACGGUGGUCCCGUAGAUUAGUACUGUAUGCCUGGGUGUGUAGUAGGCUACACCAUCUAGGUUUGUGUAAGUAGAUUCUAUGAUGUUCACACAAUGACAAAAUUGACUAAUGACCAAUUUCUCAGAACGUAUCCCCAUUGCUAAGCGAUGCAUGACUGUACUAUUAUAUCCUAAGCAUUUCCGCAAGUCAUUAAAAGCCUUAAUGAUCAUCUAAAUGGCUACAUAAUAGUUUAGCGAAUGGAUAAACCAUCAUUCGAUGUAAUCCCUUAAGAAGUGUUAGACAUGUGGAUCAUUUCCAAUCUCCCACUAUUACAAAUAAUACUAUGAUGAGCUUCCUAUGCAGAAAUAUCUGUUUGUAUUUCAGAUUAUUUCCUUAAAUACACUCUCAAGAGUGGAAAUGAGUAAAAAGCAAAAAAACGUGUAAACGCCCUUGUUACAUAUCUCAGUUCGCUUUUCAGGAGUCAUUUGCAAACCAGUGUUUUACAUCUGAAGAGAAAUAUUACAGUGAAAACAUCACACCCAAAGUUAGUCCUGGCAUUGGUGGUCCCAGGCAAUGUCUCGGGGUAUCGCCAUCAAGUAAGCAAACAUUUAUUACACCUACUGCUUACAAGUGACUAUUUCAGGCACUAGAGGGAUGUGGAUAACAUUGACCAGGGUCCUGCUGUCAAAGAGUGAAGGGUCUGAGAGAACAUUGAGCACUAAUUGAUUAAGUAUAACAUGAGAAGGAGUGAAACAAAUCUUCAACAGAAUUGUAAGUCAGCGUGUGUGGGGGAAGCGGUGAAACGAUGCAGCCAGCGAGAUGCGCUGUUCUAUUACAGUCUCAUAAACAUCCUCCAGGGCCCUGGGACCUUUCCUAUAAUCGAUACUGGAAGUACAUGAAUGUCCAGUCGGGAUUUGGAAUGUAGUUUUAGGAUUUUACAUAAUGACAUAGCUUUAUAGUUUUUACCACUUUGCUUUUAUGACUAGCUGUUGGUCAUUGCUAUGGUUUCCUUGACACCAGGAGCCUGGCAUGCAGCCCCCACAUUUUUCCUGUAGAGUUUCAUCCUACAGUAGCCCACUCGGCACUGGGGGCUUAAAGACUGCAGUGUGUGUGUGUAUGGCUCAAUGGGUUAGGCCAUGUGCUGCUCACCCCUGGGAGUCUCUGGUGGGUGGAGAGGAACCCGCCAGGCUGACUUCCAACAGAGCAUGCUAUUUCCACUACUCAGAAGCUGGCGGGACCCCAGACACCACAACCCAACCCGAAUCACCUAAAAGCAGUGUGGUGGGAUGGCCCUGGAGCCAGAGUUCUGAAUUUGAUCUUCGCUUUCCCCACCUAGCAGCCAUCUGAUCUGGACAAACUAUUUAGACCUCUCACCUUUCUUUCCUCAACUAUAAAACAGAGCCAAGAGUGAUCGUGAGAGGACAAAAAGAUAAUGGAUGUGAAAGCACUUAAAGAGAGGAAAUUGUCUUCGAAAUAUCAGCAUUUAUUAUGCUUUAGAAAAUCUAAAAAUCAGAUUUUCCUAGUCCCUCCUCUCUAAACAAAUUUUGAUGUCCAUGGGGGAUGAAGAGCAAGGGGUGGUAAUGCAUUGAUUUAUUCCUUGUCACUUUUUAAAAGGCAUGCCUUAAAGCAAUAUGAUAGAAGAGCUAUUUUUCUGGCGUUGUCAUCACUAGAGAGGGCGACUUUGGCUGGCUGAGAACACAUUUGUGUGUGUGCCUAGGGUUUUGAAAGGUGGAGGGGACUGUUGUAGAACACUAGGUGGGAAAAUUUCUUUAGGGUUUACAAGUUGAUCUGAGGCUCUACCCCAUAGCACGCAGACCUCUGAGCCCUCGGGAAUUACCUUCCACUCCAUCAUCCACGAAGCGGGCCCCUGGGAAGCAAAUUCUGACAUACUGGGAGAAAUUCAGCCAGGCUCCCGGACAAAAGAAGCUCAAAGGAUACUCUAGCAGAGAUUAUCAGAGAAGCGCUUCUGCUUUAUGAGCCUGUGAAGAAAACUGCAGAAUUGUUCAUCUCACUUUUGUUGGAUGGAGAAAAUAUACUGCUCCUUUAAGGGCUACCUGCAAAGCGAAGGAAACGUUAUCCUGAGUGAUUUAUUUAGGCACACCUGAGGCCAACUCUAAGCGCCUACAUCUUCAUUCCGAGAAGCUCAGGGAAGAGAGAAGUGGCUAGACCAUGCUCCCCAAUACAUCUACCCUCCCCCUCAUCGGCCAGCCAUGUUAUAGCCCCUGGAGAGCAAGACUGAGCCAUUCCUCCCCACCCACCCCCAAAUUUCCAUCCUCACUGGUGCCCCCGCUCCCAGGGACAGACAGUGGACAAGGUGCUGCCGGGGAGCUGCCUCCCGUGCUGUCCACCCACUCGUUCCCCCUGCCUACCUUCAAGGACCCUCCCCCGCCCUCAGCAAUGUCCCGAGGCACCUGCCUCUUCAGGAGUGAAGCCCAGCUACUGAUGUCUCCCAUGACUGUCACCAGCCACUGGGCAGGGUCGCCCCCAGCUCUGCUCUCCCUUCAGGCUUCCAUCUCAUCACUGUUCCCUAAGGAUCCUCUUCCCGCUCUCCGCUCUGAGAUCCCCACGCUUGCCUGUACUUGAAAGAGGGUCCAGGAAAUUCCCAGGACACCCUAAAUAGAACUCACUUCCUGUUCCGUGAAUUCUCAGCCCCAGUCAGAAACAUGUGGAGCCUUGCCUCUGCUCGCCACCCCGGAGAAGUGGUAUUUUUAGAGGGAUUACAGAGUGGGGAGGGUCAGCGCAAGCUGAAAGGACAGGUCCACUGAACAGAAACCGUUGCUUAGACAGAAAAUCAUCAUCACAAGAGUAAGAGCUAUCAUUUUCCAAGACACUUUCCUAUUUACAUGUGCGUUCAUAUCCAUCAUCUCCUUGAUUCCCCAACAUCACUCACUAAGGAAGAUAAGCGAGUGUUAUUGGCUCUGCUUUAUGGACAAGGAAUGUAAAGCAGAGAGGAGUUGAUAAGUGGCUAUAGCAGAACCCAAAACUUGGGGGUUGUUGAUAUUUGAGCCCUCUCCAGCUUCCAGUGAUGGAGAGUGAGCACUGGUGGGCACAGGGAGGCCGCUCUGCCCCUGCUGGUCUCUGGCCGCACACCAGGCUGCCCUGCCCAGUGGAGCCUCUU
ensembl:lncRNA